rnacentral:rRNA from 1 species
AUAUGGAGGAACACCAGUGGCGAAGGCGACUUUCUGGUCUGUAACUGACGCUGAUGUGCGAAAGCGUGGGGAUCAAACAGGAUUAGAUACCCUGGUAGUCCACGCCGUAAACGAUGAGUGCUAAGUGUUAGGGGGUUUCCGCCCCUUAGUGCUGCAGCUAACGCAUUAAGCACUCCGCCUGGGGAGUACGACCGCAAGGUUGAAACUCAAAGGAAUUGACGGGGACCCGCACA